rnacentral:rRNA from 1 species
UACGGAGGAUCCGAGCGUUAUCCGGAUUUAUUGGGUUUAAAGGGUGCGCAGGCGGGAGAUUAAGUCGGCGGUGAAAUUUUGCGGCUCAACCGUAAAAGUGCCUUCGAAACUGGUUUUCUUGAGUGUAGAUGAAGUAGGCGGAAUUUGUGGUGUAGCGGUGAAAUGCAUAGAUAUCACGAGGAACUCCGAUUGCGCAGGCAGCUUACUAAACUACAACUGACGCUCAUGCACGAAGGCGUGGGGAUCAAACAGG